ACGGAGGGUGCGAGCGUUAAUCGGAAUUACUGGGCGUAAAGCGCGUGUAGGCGGUAGCCUAAGUCAGAUGUGAAAGCCCCGGGCUUAACCUGGGAACUGCAUUUGAUACUGGGCGACUAGAGUACGGUAGAGGGCAGUGGAAUUUCUGGUGUAGCGGUGAAAUGCGUAGAUAUCAGAAGGAACACCAAUGGCGAAGGCAUCUGCCUGGGCCGAAACUGACGCUGAGAUGCGAAAGCGUGGGGAGCAAACAG
rnacentral:rRNA from 1 species